UACGAAGGGGGCUAGCGUUGCUCGGAAUCACUGGGCGUAAAGCGCACGUAGGCGGCUUUCUAAGUCAGGGGUGAAAUCCUGGAGCUCAACUCCAGAACUGCCUUUGAUACUGGAGAGCUUGAGUCCGGAAGAGGUGAGUGGAACUCCGAGUGUAGAGGUGAAAUUCGUAGAAAUUCGGAAGAACACCAGUGGCGAAGGCGGCUCACUGGUCCGGUACUGACGCUGAUGUGCGAAAGCGUGGGGAGCAAACAGG
rnacentral:rRNA from 1 species